ACCAGGGCAAAGCACUAAUGGCACUGUGGAGGGAGUUAUCACAGGAGUGGCAGAGGACAAAGUGAUCAUGCAUGUGGAUACCUAGGGUUACAAAAUCAUCUGCUAUCUUCCUAGAUCUUGGAGCUCAUUCCAUAAGUGACUUGCAUUUCAACAGGAUUCUUCAAAAGUGACGAGAAAACAUAGGAAACCAACAUCAUUUUGAAUCGCUUUCUCAUGGAGCUGAUUGGCAAGCAUUCCUUCAUGAAAUCACUCAGCAUGUAAUCUGGCAUUCAUGAGCUGUAUGUAUGGAAAACUCAAGGAGUCUGAGGUGUGAGCAAUCAGCUGAAGGCACAUUUUGUAAUGGCCAUUGAUUCUGUGAACA
rnacentral:lncRNA from 1 species